UGAAUUCAAUUUAAUAUUUAUAAUUUUAUGUUGAUAAACCUAAUAAUUUAUUGAUGAAAUAAAUUACAAUAUAUAAUAUCUAAAAUUUAUUAAUUACUUAAAUAAAAUUAUACAGCAAAACCUACUCUUGCGAUCUCAUUCUCACGCACGCGAUCGAACUAGGGCAAGAUCUCAUUCUCACGCACGCGAUCGAACUCCCUCGUUUUCGCUAUUACCCUUUGCCCUACCUUUAGGGACGACCUUAAACUCAUUCGCUAACUGCAAUUGCCAACUGCAAAUCGACGGACUCUCGGCCACGACAUCUCUCAGUCGCGCAUUGGUAUGAGUUUCUUCACUCACAAUUCUUCGGACAAUCCCGCAAACUCGUCUUCGCCGGUUUCUCCUUCUCAGGUUCAUUAAGGAAGCAAGGAAUCAGCUCUAUUGUCCAACAGAACCAGGAAUUUAGCAUUCAAAAUGAAGAUUUUCCAGCAUUACCUGAAUUUAAAGGUGGUAGCUCUGAUUUUUCCUUGGAUUUGCAUCAGAAGGAACAACUUCAUGAAAAUGUUUCAAUGCUUCAAUCGCAACAUUUCCCUCUUUUGGACGGAGGCGAUUCUUCUCAAUGGCUCCAUUAUCAACACUGAUGGUUCACUUAUAUUGAGAUUGCUGAGUUUGAGAUGGCAAUUAUUAGAUAUCUGCACUUCUUGAUGUCUUUCAAGAGAGAUCAGAUUGGGAGAAUUUUUAAUUUUGAAGUAUCUAAGCACCGUGAGUCUUGAUAUUUCAUCAGCUAGAGGAAGAGUUGCUACAGGUGGUCUUGAAGAAAAAUAUUGUUUUAUUUUUAGUUUGAAUUCAAGUCAAUUUUGUGUAAAAAUAUAUUGGAUUAACUAUUUUCACCUGAACAGCGGGCCUACUACUAGUUUUUAUUGUUU